AUUGAACGCUGGCGGCAGGCUUAACACAUGCAAGUCGAACGAGCGGCGGACGGGUGAGUAAUGUAUGGGAAUCUGCCCGAUAGAGGGGGAUAACUACUGGAAACGGUGGCUAAUACCGCAUACUAUCGGAUGAGCCCAUAUGGGAUUAGCUAGUUGGUGGGGUAAAGGCUCACCUAGGCGACGAUCUCUAGCUGGUCUGAGAGGAUGACCAGCCACACUGGGACUGAGAAACGGCACAGACUCCUACGGGAGGCAGCAGUGGGGAAUGUUGCACAAUGGGGGGAACCCUGAUGCAGCCAUGCCGCGUGUAUGAAGAAGGCCUUCGGGUUGUAAAGUUCUUUUGGUAGAGAGGCGGUAUCUACAGAAGAAGCACCGGCUAACUCCGUGCCAGCAGCCGCGGUAAUAC
rnacentral:rRNA from 1 species